rnacentral:tRNA from 2 species
GCUGAUUUGGCCGAGUGGUCUAAGGCGGUGGUCUUAAGCACCAUUAUCGAAAGAUGCGUGAGUUCGAACCUCACAGUCAGCA